UACGUAGGGGGCAAGCGUUGUCCGGAUUUAUUGGGCGUAAAGAGCUCGUAGGCGGCUUGUUGCGUCGACUGUGAAAACCCGCGGCUUAACCGCGGGCUUGCAGUUGAUACGGGCAGGCUAGAGUUCGGUAGGGGAGACUGGAAUUCCUGGUGUGGCGGUGAAAUGCGCAGAUAUCAAGGAGGAACACCGAUGGCGAAGGCAGGUCUCUGGGCCGAUACUGACGCUGAGGAGCGAAAGCGUGGGGAGCGAACAGG
rnacentral:rRNA from 1 species